GGAAGCGUAGUUCAGAUGGUUGAUUUCUCGAUUAUCGUGCGAGAGGUACGGGGAUCGAUACCCCACGCCUUCA